GACGAACGCUGGCGGCGUGCCUAAUACAUGCAAGUAGGACGCAGUUGCGAACGGGAGAGUAACGCGUAGGUAACUACCUAUUAGAGGGGGAUAACUAUUGGAAACGAUAGCUAAUACCGCAUACUAGUAGAUGGACCUGCGUUGUAUUAGCUAGUAGGUAGGGGAAUGGCCUACCUAGGCAACGAUACAUAGGCGACGCGGGAGGGAGAUCGGCCACACUGGGACCUGGGCACCGCCCAGAACCCUACGGGAGGCAGGAGUAGGGAAUUGUCGGAAAUGGGGGGAACCCUGACCGAGCAACGGCGGGGGAGUGAAGAAGGUUUUCGGAUCGGAAAGCUCUGUUGUGAAGGAAGCGGUACUUAACCAGAAAGGGACGGCUAACUACGUGCCAGCCGCCGCGGUAAUAC
rnacentral:rRNA from 1 species